rnacentral:rRNA from 1 species
UACAGAGGUCUCAAGCGUUGUUCGGAUUCAUUGGGCGUAAAGGGUGCGUAGGCGGCGCGGUAAGUCGGGUGUGAAAUCUUGGAGCUUAACUCCGAAACUGCAUUCGAUACUGCCGUGCUUGAGGACUGGAGAGGAGACUGGAAUUUACGGUGUAGCGGUGAAAUGCGUAGAUAUCGUAAGGAAGACCAGUGGCGAAGGCGGGGUCUCUGGACAGUUCCUGACGCUGAGGCACGAAGGCCAGGGGGAGCAAACAGG